rnacentral:tRNA from 1 species
CAAGACGUAGCUAUAACAUAAAGCAUUUAGCUUACACCUAAGAGAUAUCUGCUACCCACAGGUCGUCUUGA